rnacentral:rRNA from 1 species
AGUGAACGCUGGCGGCAGGCCUAAUACAUGCAAGUCGAACGGCAGCACAGCAGAGCUUGCUCUGUGGGUGGCGAGUGGCGGACGGGUGAGGAAUACAUGGGAAUCUGCCCAGUCGUGGGGGAUAACGUAUGGAAACGUACGCUAAUACCGCAUGCGCCCUACGGGGGAAAGUCGGGGACCGCAAGGCCUGACGCGAUUGGAUGAGCCCAUGUUCGAUUAGCUAGUUGGCGGGGUAAAGGCCCACCAAGGCGACGAUCGAUAGCUGGUCUGAGAGGAUGAUCAGCCACACUGGAACUGAGACACGGUCCAGACUCCUACGGGAGGCAGCAGUAGGGAAUAUUGGACAAUGGGGGCAACCCUGAUCCAGCCAUGCCGCGUGAGUGAAGAAGGCCCUCGGGUUGUAAAGCUCUUUUGUCCGGAAGAAAGCAAUCGGUUAAUACCCGGUUGUUCUGACGGUACCGGAAGAAUAAGCACCGGCUAACUUCGUGCCAGC